UACGUAGGGGGCAAGCGUUGUCCGGAAUCAUUGGGCGUAAAGCGCGUGUAGGCGGCUCGGUAAGUCCGCUCUGAAAGUCCGGGGCUCAACCCCGGGAGGCGGGUGGAUACUGUCGGGCUAGAGUGCGGAAGAGGCGAGUGGAAUUCCUGGUGUAGCGGUGAAAUGCGCAGAUAUCAGGAGGAACACCAAUUGCGAAGGCAGCUCGCUGGGACGUUACUGACGCUGAGACGCGAAAGCGUGGGGAGCAAACAGG
rnacentral:rRNA from 1 species